GGUUGGGGAGCCAGAUUUAAGAACCUUGUGUAAUGCUGAGAUGCUCCAAGAGAAUCCAAGAGAAUGUCAGGAUUAUGCAUGAUGAAGCUAAUCUUUUUCAAUGAAGAACACCCCAAAUACUGAAAAGUAGAAAAAGGACAGAUGGCGUUUCAUGGUGCUGAAAAUCAGACUCUUCUCGAGGAGCUCAUGAGCAAUCAAGGGAGACGGAUGGGUGAGCAACUGAUUAUCAUGUGACAAGUGAGAUAAUAGAGAUAUGACUAAGAUGCUGUCUAAACAAGAAGAAAGGAAUUAUUCAUAAUAUAUGGACUUCUGGGGAACGAUUUCUCAAAUGAAGCCAGCCGGGCG
rnacentral:lncRNA from 1 species